UACGUAGGGUCCGAGCGUUGUCCGGAAUUACUGGGCGUAAAGAGCUCGUAGGCGGUUUGUCACGUCUGCUGUGAAAUCCCGAGGCUCAACCUCGGGCCUGCAGUGGGUACGGGCAGACUGGAGUGCGGUAGGGGAGAUUGGAAUUCCUGGUGUAGCGGUGGAAUGCGCAGAUAUCAGGAGGAACACCGAUGGCGAAGGCAGAUCUCUGGGCCGUAACUGACGCUGAGGAGCGAAAGCAUGGGGAGCGAACAGG
rnacentral:rRNA from 1 species